GAUAUUAAGAACCGCAUAAUACCACCCUUUUUUAAAUCUGAAUUGAACCAGUUAUAUCAGUCUCAGUAUAAUCACCUGGACAGUCUUUCCAAAAAACUGCCUUCUUUUACAAAGAAAAAUGAAGAUGCAAACGAAACAGCUGUUCAAGAUACAUCUGAUCUUAAUCUAGAUUUCAAGCCACAUAAGGUUUCAGAACAGAAAUCCUCAAGUGUGCCUAGUCUUCCAAAACCAGAGAUUUCUGCAGAUAAGAAGGAUUUCACUGCUCAGAACCAAACUGAAAAUUUAACAAAAUCUCCUGAAGAAGCAGAAUCUUAUGAGCCCGUGAAAAUUCCAACCCAGUCCUUGCUGCAGGAUGUUGCGGGACAAACAAGAAAAGAAAAAGUGAAGUUGCCUCAUUAUUUGCUGAGUUCCAAGCCUAAGUCUCAACCUCUUGCAAAGGUGCAAGAUUCUGUUGGAGGAAAAGUGAACACAUCCUCUGUUGCAUCUGCUGCCAUUAAUAAUGCAAAGUCAUCCCUUUUUGGGUUCCAUCUUCUCCCAUCAUCAGUCAAGUUUGGAGUGCUUAAGGAAGGACAUACCUAUGCCACAGUUGUAAAGCUCAAGAAUGUUGGAGUGGACUUCUGCAGGUGAGGCCAAGGGACCAAAGGUCUGCUCAGGUUACCUUUCCCUACCCUGUGACUUGUCUUUGGUCACCUCCAUCAAUAAAUGU
rnacentral:lncRNA from 1 species